AGAGUUUGAUUCUGGCUCAGGAUGAACGCUAGCUACAGGCUUAACACAUGCAAGUCGAGGGGCAGCAGGACGAUAGCUUGCUAUGUUGCUGGCGACCGGCGCACGGGUGAGUAACGCGUAUCCAACCUUCCCCUUAGUAGGGCAUAGCCCGGUGAAAAUCGGAUUAAUACCCUAUGUUGUGUCAUGAGGACAUCUGAAUAACACUAAAGAUUUAUCGCUAAGGGAUGGGGAUGCGUCCGAUUAGGUAGUCGGCGGGGUAACGGCCCACCGAGCCCUCGAUCGUAGGGGUUCUGAGAGGAAGGUCCCCCACACUGGUACUGAGACACGGACCAGACUCCUACGGGAGGCAGCAGUGAGGAAUAUUGGUCAAUGGGCGUAAGCCUGAACCAGCCAAGUAAGCGUGCAGGAUGACGGCCCUAUGGGUUGUAAACUGCUUUUAUACGGGGAUAAAGUGAGGGACGUGUCCCUUAUUGUAGGUACCGUAUGAAUAAGGACCGGCUAAUUCCGUGCCAGCAGCGGC
rnacentral:rRNA from 1 species